GGCGCACGGGUGAGUAACGCGUAUGCAACCUACCUUCAACUGGGGGAUAGCCCAGGGAAACUUGGAUUAAUACCCCAUAGUAUUUAUGAAUCGCAUGGUUUAUAAAUUAAAGUUCCGGCGGUUGAAGAUGGGCAUGCGUGCCAUUAGUUAGUUGGUGAGGUAACGGCUCACCAAGACAGCGAUGGCUACGGGGUCUAAAAGGAUGGUCCCGCACACUGGUACUGAGACACGGACCAGACUCCUACGGGAGGCAGCAGUGAGGAAUAUUGGUCAAUGGGCGCAAGCCUGAACCAGCCAUGCCGCGUGCAGGAAGACGGCCCUAUGGGUUGUAAACUGCUUUUGUACGGGAAUAAUAACCACGACGUGUCGUGGGACGAAGGUACCGUACGAAUAAGCAUCGGCUAACUCCGUGCCAGCAGCCGCGGUAAUACGGAGGAUGCAGGCGUUAUCCGGAUUUAUUAGGUUUAAAGGGUGCGCAGGCGGCCCGGUAAGUCAGUGGUGAAAGUUUGCAGCUUAACUGUAAAAUUGCCAUUGAUACUGUCGGGCUUGAAUGUGGUAGAGGUAGGCGGAAUGUGUAGUGUAGCGGUGAAAUGCUUAGAUAUUACACAGAACACCGAUUGCGAAGGCAGCUUACUAUGCCAUGAUUGACGCUGAGGCACGAAAGCGUGGG
rnacentral:rRNA from 1 species